rnacentral:rRNA from 1 species
UACGAAGGGGGCUAGCGUUGUUCGGAUUUACUGGGCGUACAGCGCACGUAGGCGGAUUGUUAAGUCGGGGGUGAAAUCCUGGAGCUCAACUCCAGAAUUGCCUUCGAUACUGGCUUUCUAGAGGCUGGAAGAGGUUAGUGGAAUUCCCAGUGUAGAGGUGAAAUUCGUAGAUAUUCGCAAGAACACCAGUGGCGAAGGCGGCUCACUGGUCCGGUUCUGACGCUGAGGCGCGAAAGCGUGGGGAGCAAACAGG